rfam:Brassica napus, WGS project CCCW01000000 data, contig: 7896
GAGAGCCGGAUGAGAGGAGACCUUCACGUCGGGUUCGGAGGGCGGGGAUAUCCCGACCAUACUAUCAUUAUGCCUUUGAAAUGUUACUUGGUUCAACUCUCGU